rnacentral:rRNA from 1 species
GCUUAGCCCUAAAAUAUCACUUACACUAAAACCCGCCAAAAAACUACGAGCGCAAGCUUGAAACUUAAGGACUUGACGGUGUCCAAUCAACCUAGAGGAGCCUGUUCUAUAACCGAUGAUCCCCGUUAUACCUCACCUCUUUUAGCUAAUCAGCCUGUAUACUUCCGUCGUAAGCUAACCAUGUGACUGUUACAGUAAGCUUAAUAGUUAAUACACCAAAACGUCAGGUCAAAGUGCAACCUAUAAAGAGGAAAGAAAUGGGCUACUAUUUCUAACUCAAGAAAAACGAAUUAGCAUCUCAAUAACUGCUAUGAAGGUGGAUUUAGAAGUAAAGUGAAAAUAGCGUGUUCACUUUAAUAAUGUACUAGGACAUGUACAAACCGCCCGUCAUCCUCUUUUUCCUUAAUCCCCUACCUAUACCUAAUAAAUUUAUUAAGAACCAAAAGAGGCAAGUCGUAACAUGGUAAGUNUACUGGAAAGUGUACUUGGCUAA